rnacentral:lncRNA from 1 species
AAAUACCAGUAGCCACACUCUUGGUGGCUUAAAAAACACUCACUUUUAAUUUCAUAAUUUCUGAGGGUCAGCAGUCUGAGCAGCACUUAACCGGUGGAUGCUCUGUCUUGGGGUCUCGUAACACCUCAAAUUGUCAUCCAGGGUUGUAAUCUCAUCUGAGGCUCAACUGAGGCAUGCUGUAAAUACCUGACUGAUCUUACAGUGAGGAGAAUAUAGGAUGGAAUGGAUAUAAGAGCAAUCCCAUUAAAGACUACCUGUGGAUAUUAGUCAUCUUCCAAACAAAAGAUGCUGAGUUCUCUAAAUUGCUUCAUGUGAGAUGUAACACAAAACCACAUGACCUAGUUCCUUUCUUUUGUUUACUCACAACAGCACUCUUGAAAGUCACUAUCAGCGCAAAACGUUUGGCCUGACUGGGUAAGGGAUACGUAACAACAUCAUAUGGCAAAGGCUUCUCUGCUUUCUUAGGCUCCUGAAUUGGGCCCAUCCUGGAGCUUAAUAAGCAAGCACUGAGAGCUUAUUUAUGCAUUAGAACAUGGAAAAACUCCAUUUAAAACCCCUUCUCAAGAUUCAGCUGGUUGUCAGAAUGACACGUCUGCUCAGCUAUCCACUCAUGCCCACCUGCUUAUCCAGCUUCCCAUACUCAUGCACCAAGGCAUCAGGGUAGAUAAAGAGGGUUUUUCUAACCUAGAGAUACAUUUAAG